CGACCAUUUUGGGGGGAAAGGAAGAAAGUAAAGCUACUGAGGAACACCAACUGGCCCUUGGAUUAGAACACACUGCGAGCUCUGCAAUCAUGUUCCUGCAGUCCUCCAGCUUCGUCUGCCCAAAGAGACGUGGACAUGAAGUUUGAGGAGCACCGACAGGCCAGAUCACAAGCCUACCUAGCCACCAGCCCACAGAGGCCUGGGAAUGCCUUAGCUCAACGGCUCUACUUUCUUGGGCCCUCAGAAUUUGAUGUCUUAGUUUUAAAAAAAAAGAAAAUGACUGAGACACUAAGGGAGCUACUAUAUGAACCAACAAAGUUGGGGAACCUCUGCCCUAAGUAAGAUUCACCUGCCAUGAGGAAUUUCUGCCAUGACUUCAGAGAGAAAAGCAUUCAGCUUAGUGAAGCUGAACAAGUCGAGGACACCCAAGGAAACCGACUGCCUCCCUCCCCACUGCUCUCCGGCAUUCUCGCACUUGGCUUUACAGUUUAUACCUGUAAU